rnacentral:tRNA from 6 species
GCGCGGGUGCUGAAACUUAGAAGACAGGCCAGCUUGAGGGGCUGGUGUCCGCAAGGACGUGGAGGUGCAAGUCCUCUCCCGCGCA